rnacentral:rRNA from 1 species
AGUGAACGCUGGCGGUAGGCCUAACACAUGCAAGUCGAACGGCAGCACAGUAAGCGCUUGCUCUUACUGUUGGCGAGUGGCGGACGGGUGAGGAAUACAUCGGAAUCUUCUUUUUCGUGGGGGAUAACGUAGGGAAACUUACGCUAAUACCGCAUACGACCUACGGGUGAAAGCAGGGGAUCUUCGCACCUUGCGCGAUUCAAUUAGCCGAUGUCGGAUUAGCUAGUUGGCGGGGUAAAGGCCCACCAAGGCGACGAUCCGUAGCUGGUCUGAGAGGAUGAUCAGCCACACUGGAACUGAGACACGGUCCAGACUCCUACGGGAGGCAGCAGUGGGGAAUAUUGGACAAUGGGCGAAAGCCUGAUCCAGCCAUACCGCGUGGGUGAAGAAGGCCUUCGGGUUGUAAAGCCCUUUUGUUGGGGAAGAAAAGCAGCAGGUUAAUACCCCGCUGUUCUGACGGUACCCAAAGAAUAAGCACCGGCUAACUUCGUG